GACGAACGCUGGCGGCGUGCUUAACACAUGCAAGUCGAACGAGUGGCGAACGGGUGAGUAAUACGUGGGUAACCUGCCCUAUUUUUGGGAUAAGCCUUGGAAACGGGGUGUAAUACCGACUACAGGGUGAUGGGCUCGCGGCCUAUCAGCUUGUUGGGGGGGUGAUGGCCUACGAUGGCGGUGACGGGUAGGCGGCCUGAGAGGCUGACCGGGACGAUGACAACGGCCAUACGGCCCAGAGACCUACGGGUGGGGGCUGUUGGGGAUAUUGCGCAAGGCGCGAAAGCCAGAUGCAGGUGUGUCGCGUGGGGGUUGGGGUCUUUAGGGUUGUAAACCUGUUUAGCUAUCGGACCGGUAGGUGGAGAAGAAGCGCCGGCUAACUACGUGCCAGCAGCCGCGGUAAUAC
rnacentral:rRNA from 1 species